GGGGUUGUGGCUCAGUGGCAGAGCGCUUGCCUAGCAUGUAUGAGGCACUGGGUUCAAUUCUCAACACCA
rnacentral:tRNA from 1 species